rnacentral:rRNA from 1 species
CUCUACAGCCGUGCUAAUCUGAACUAUCCCAAUCCUGUCUGAUCUCAGAUGCUAAGCAGGGCCGGGCCUGGUUAGUGCUUGGAUGGGAGACCACCUAGGAAGACCAGGUGCUGUAGGUG